GGGAAACAGACAGAGGGGCCAGCCCCAGGCUCCAAUUCAAAAUGGGGCA
rfam:Macaca mulatta chromosome 7, whole genome shotgun sequence.